GUGGGGAAUAUUGGACAAUGGGGGGAACCCUGAUCCAGCCAUGCCGCGUGUGUGAAGAAGGCCUUUUGGUUGUAAAGCACUUUAAGCGAGGAGGAGGCGCUCUAGGCUAAUACCCUAGAUGCGUGGACGUUACUCGCAGAAUAAGCACCGGCUAACUCUGUGCCAGCAGCCGCGGUAAUACAGAGGGUGCAAGCGUUAAUCGGAUUUACUGGGCGUAAAGCGCGCGUAGGUGGCCAAUUAAGUCAAAUGUGAAAUCCCCGAGCUUAACUUGGGAAUUGCAUUCGAUACUGGUUGGCUAGAGUAUGGGAGAGGAUGGUAGAAUUCCAGGUGUAGCGGUGAAAUGCGUAGAGAUCUGGAGGAAUACCGAUGGCGAAGGCAGCCAUCUGGCCUAAUACUGACACUGAGGUGCGAAAGCAUGGGGAGCAAACAGGAUUAGAAACCCCUGUAGUCC
rnacentral:rRNA from 1 species